GACGAACGCUGGCGGCGUGCUUAACACAUGCAAGUCGAGGGCGGGGGGUAACCCCUGACCGGCGAACGGGUGCGUAACACGUGAGCGACCUACCUCCCUGCGGGGGAUAGCCGGCCCAACGGCCGGGUAAUACCGCAUACGCUCGGCCCGGGGCAUCCCGGGGCGAGGAAACUUCCGGGGCGGGGAGAGGGGCUCGCGGCCUAUCAGCUAGUUGGCGGGGUGACGGCCCACCAAGGCGGCGACGGGUAGCUGGUCUGAGAGGANGGCCAGCCACAUUGGGACUGAGAGACGGCCCAGACUCCUACGGGGAGGCAGCAGUAAGGAAUAUUGGUCAAUGGACGCAAGUCUGAACCAGCCAUGCCGCGUGGAGGAUGAAGGUCCUCUGGAUUGUAAACUUC
rnacentral:rRNA from 1 species